GUAUCAGUGGUUUAGAGGUAAAAUCCAUCGUUGCCAUAUCGCUAGCAUCGAUGGGCCCCGUGUUCGAUUCACGGCUGAUGCA